rnacentral:rRNA from 1 species
CCCUUAGAUGUUCUGGGCUGCACGCGCGCUACACUGCUGCAAUUAACGGGUUUUCUGUGCCGAAAGGCUUGGGGAAUCCUUUGAAUAUGCGGCGUGAUGGGGAUAGAAUAUUGUAAUUAUUACUCUUCAACGAGGAAUGCCUAGUAAGCGCAAGUCAUCAGCUUGCGUUGAUUACGUCCCUGCCCUUUGUACACACCGCCCGUCGCUCCUACCGAUUGAAUGGUCCGGUGAAGCGUUCGGACCGUGGCCUUUGGACGGUUCGCCGUCUGUUGGCUGCGGGAAGUUCGUUAAACCUUAUCAUUUAGAGGAAGGAGAAGUCGUAACA